rnacentral:rRNA from 1 species
CAGUCGCCACGGUAAUACGAAGGGUGCAAGCGUUACUCGGAAUUACUGGGCGUAAAGCGUGCGUAGGUGGUGGUUUAAGUCCGUUGUGAAAGCCCUGGGCUCAACCUGGGAAUUGCAGUGGAUACUGGGUCACUAGAGUGUGGUAGAGGAUAGUGGAAUUUUCGGUGUAGCAGUGAAAUGCGUAGAGAUCGGAAGGAACAUCUGUGGCGAAGGCGACUAUCUGGGCCAACACUGACACUGAGGCACGAAAGCGUGGGGAGCAAACAGGAUUAGAUACCCCAGUAGUCCCUGUCUCUUAUAC